GGAGGGAAAAGACACAUGGGAUGGCAGCAAGGAAACCUGCCUAGAGGAGCCAGCCAUCCCGUCUGUCCCCUCACUUCCUUCCAGAGAGAACGUCUUUCCUUGACAGCGCCUGCCUCCUGUCAUUUCAUCCCAACACUUUGCCCAGCCCGGGAAAUCUGGAUUUUCUUUUUAAAGAAAGAUGUCUAGAGAGAAAAAUAGAAAAUGAACAGCCAAUAGAAAGUGCAACAGAGCUUGUUGAUUUGGUUCUGUCAGAUGCCCCAAGUGUUCGUGAAGCAGCUAUACUAAGUGACAUUCAAACGUUGGUAAUGAGGAGACAUCUGCAUAUACACUGGUUUUGAAACAUCAA
rnacentral:lncRNA from 10 species